CCUACGGGAGGCAGCAGUGAGGAAUAUUGGUCAAUGGGCGCGAGCCUGAACCAGCCAAGUCGCGUGAGGGAAGACGGUCCUAUGGAUUGUAAACCUCUUUUGUCGGGGAGCAAAAGACGCCACGCGUGGCGUUCCGAGAGUACCCGAAGAAAAAGCAUCGGCUAACUCCGUGCCAGCCGCCGCGGUAAUACGGAGGAUGCGAGCGUUAUCCGGAUUUAUUGGGUUUAAAGGGUGCGCAGGCGGAACAUCAAGGCAGCGGUAAAAUUGAGGGGCUCAACCUCUUCGAGCCGUUGAAACUGGUUUUCUUGAGUGAGUGAGAAGUAUGCGGAAUGCGUGGUGUAGCGGUGAAAUGCAUAGAUAUCACGCAGAACUCCGAUUGCGAAGGCAGCAUACCGGCGCUCAACUGACGCUCAUGCACGAAAGUGUGGGUAUCGAACAGGAUUAGAUACCCGGGUAGUC
rnacentral:rRNA from 1 species